rnacentral:rRNA from 1 species
CAGUAGCCGCGGUAAUACAGAGGGUGCGAGCGUUAAUCGGAUUUACUGGGCGUAAAGCGUGCGUAGGCGGCUUCUUAAGUCGGAUGUGAAAUCCCUGAGCUUAACUUAGGAAUUGCAUUCGAUACUGGGAAGCUAGAGUAUGGGAGAGGAUGGUAGAAUUCCAGGUGUAGCGGUGAAAUGCGUAGAGAUCUGGAGGAAUACCGAUGGCGAAGGCAGCCAUCUGGCCUAAUACUGACGCUGAGGUACGAAAGCAUGGGGAGCAAACAGGAUUAGAUACCCGAGUAGUCCCUGUCUCUUAUCC